rnacentral:rRNA from 1 species
GACGUAGGAUGCGAGCGUUGUCCGGAUUUAUUGGGCGUAAAGAGUUCGUAGGUGGUUCGUUAAGUCUGGUGUAAAAGACUGGGGCUCAACCCUGGGAUCGCACUGGAUACUGGCGGACUGGAGUGUGGUAGAGGCAAGCGGAAUUCCCAGUGUAGCGGUGAAAUGCGUAGAUAUUGGGAAGAACACCGGUGGCGCAAGCGGCUUGCUGGACCAUAACUGACACUGAGGAACGAAAGCUAGGGGAGCGAAUGGG